AAGCUGCUAAGUACCUUACCACAAUAUUAUUGUAAACUAAACUUGUUAUAUAAAUGGAUUUUAUGGUGAUUGGCACGCAUUUUGAAAAAAUGGACAAAAAGAAACGUAAAAUAUCGCUUACUACGAAGAAUUUAGAAGAGACUGUCGAAAACAUAGCUGAUAUUGAUUUGUCACGCACAGAUUCGGAAGACGACUCAUGAUAUGUCAACAGUAUUAAUUCUCCUUCCGAUAGUUACUCAAUCAACUUGAGGACUGCAUAUUUCCUUAUUAAAAUAUUGUUCUUAA